rnacentral:rRNA from 1 species
CACGUAGUUAGCCGGUGCUUCUUCUCCAGGUACCGUCACAAAAACGCUUCGUCCCUAGCGAAAGGAGUUUACAACCCGAAGGCCGUCAUCCCCCACGCGGCGUCGCUGCAUCAGGCUUGCGCCCAUUGUGCAAUAUUCCCCACUGCUGCCUCCCGUAGGAGUCUGGGCCGUAUCUCAGUCCCAAUGUGGCCGUACACCCUCUCAGGCCGGCUACCCGUCGACGCCUUGGUAGGCCAUUACCCCACCAACAAGCUGAUAGGCCGCGAGCUCAUCCCACACCGAAAAAACUUUCCACAAUGGCAUCCAAACCAUCGUCCUAUCCGGUAUUAGACCCAGUUUCCCAGGCUUAUCCCGAAGUGCAGGGCAGAUCACCCACGUGUUACUCACCCGUUCGCCACUCGAGUACCCAAGCAAGCUUGGGCCUUUCCGUUCGACUUGCAUGUGUUAAGCACGCCGCCAGCGUUCAUCCUGAGCCAGGAUCAAACUCU